rnacentral:rRNA from 1 species
UACGUAGGGGCCAAGCGUUGUCCGGAUUUAUUGGGCGUAAAGAGCUCGUAGGCGGUUGGGUAAGUCGGGUGUGAAAACUCCAGGCUCAACUUGGAGAUGCCACCCGAUACUGCUCUGACUUGAGUUCGGUAGGGGAGUGGGGAAUUCCUGGUGUAGCGGUGAAAUGCGCAGAUAUCAGGAGGAACACCGGUGGCGAAGUCGCCACUCUGGGCCGAAACUGACGCUGAGACGCGAAAGCGUGGGGAGCAAACAGG